AUUGAACGCUGGCGGCAGGCUUAACACAUGCAAGUCGAACGAGUGGCGGACGGGUGAGUAAUGCUUGGGAAUCUAGCUUAUGGAGGGGGAUAACUACGGGAAACUGUAGCUAAUACCGCGUACCAUAGGCGGAGCCCAAGUGGGAUUAGGUAGUUGGUGGGGUAAAGGCUCACCAAGACGACGAUCUCUAGCGGGUCUGAGAGGAUGAACAGCCACACGGGUACUGAGACACGGCCCAGACUCCUACGGGAGGCAGCAUUGGGGAAUAUUGCGCAAUGGGGGAAACCUGACUCAGCCAUGCCGCGUGAAUGAAGAAGGCCUUCGGGUUUUAAAGUUCUUUCGGUAGCGAGGCGUUAACUACAGAAGAAGCACCGGCUAACUCCGUGCCAGCAGCCGCGGUAAUUC
rnacentral:rRNA from 1 species